UAGGGCCAUACCACCCUGAACACACCCGAUCUCGUCUGAUCUCGGAAGCUAAGCAGGGUCGGGCCUGGUUAGUACUUGGAUGGGAGAAGUCUUUGGCUUAGCCCUCA
ensembl:rRNA 5S_rRNA 5S ribosomal RNA